rnacentral:rRNA from 1 species
AUGCACGCUGGCGUCGCGCCUAAUACAUGCAAGUCGCGCGAACGGACGAGAAGCUUUCUUCUCUGAUGUUAGCGGCGGACGGGUGAGUAACACGUGGAUAACCUACCUAUAAGACUGGGAUAACUUCGGGAAACCGGAGCUAAUACCGGAUAAUAUUUUGAACCGCAUGGUUCCAAAGUGAAAGACGGUCUUGCUGUCACUUAUAGAUGGAUCCGCGCUGCAUUAGCUAGUUGGUAAGGUAACGGCUUACCAAGGCAACGAUGCAUAGCCGACCUGAGAGGGUGAUCGGCCACACUGGAACUGAGACACGGUCCAGACUCCUACGGGAGGCAGCAGUAGGGAAUCUUCCGCAAUGGGCGAAAGCCUGACGGAGCAACGCCGCGUGAGUAAUGAAGGUCUUCGGAUCGUAAAACUCUGUUAUUAGGGAAGAACAUAUGUGUAAGUAACUGUGCACAUCUUGACGGUACCUAAUCAGAAAGCCACGGCUAACUACGUG